CCUCAGAGGAGCACUACUGCGAGUCAAUCAGCGACCAGCACAGCAACCGAACUCAAAAGCAAGAGCCCAAGAUCCGAGCGGUAGGAGAAUCCGGACAUGGCGGCGGCAGCGAGGGCGUCGUGGAUGGUGGCGAUGAGCGUCGGCGCGGUGGAGGCGCUCAAGGACCAGGCAGGCCUCUGCCGCUGGAACUACGCCGGCGUGGUCGGUGGAGGAGUGGACGUGGAACACGAACAGCUCCUGCGCGAAGAGCGCUGCCAGGAGGAGCAUGGAGAGCGUCGUCGGCGCCGGCGCCGCGUGGCGCGGUCGUCGUCGUCGUCCAGGUAUAUGUUGGAGCUGGUGUAGACGAGGAGCGAGGCGUAGAUGAUGGCGUGCUCGUGGUUCGGCAGCCGCUCAGGCGGGAUGGAGCCGUCGGCGCGGAACGGCAUCGGCGAGUAGGCGAGCAUCUGGGUGGCCAGCCCGUACGCUCCCGCGGCCAGCAUGGCGAUGGGCUCGAGGCGACGCACCCCGUGGCGCCGGGAACCAUGCUGCCGGCGCGAGGACGACGACGCGCGACGAUGAGGACGACGGGGUCGGGGCGAGGGAGACCAAGAGCCUCAUGUGGUUGAAGAGGUGCCAUAGGCCGAGGCCUGAGAGCAUCGCGCCUGCCAGGGUGUGGCUGAUGAUUUUAUCCGCGGCGCCGCGGGGCAGCAUCGUCAUGCGGAUCGAUGUCAGUCGUCUAAACUGUUGAUGCUGGCUUGCUGAUUUCUUUGUUUGCAAUGCAUGCUCGAUCGGGAAGGAUUUAUUCUCUAUAUUAACCGCGGGAGCAAAACGGAGCGGGCAGGAUGUCCACGUCGUCCAAUUUUCUGUGAGCCGUCCGAUGACAGAUCGAUGGCCGACCUACCAUGUGCUACAAACGUCUUCGUUUCUGUUCCAGACUUCCAGUCGCUGUCCAACGCAAGGGUCCCACCUACUUUCACCACGCGAUCGCGGGCCUGCUAGAAGCGUCUUCAUUUCUCCAUACCUGUCGUUACCUGCUGCUGGCCAACGUGUGGGUCCCAUCUAGGUUCCAACUCCUAUAAAAUGUCCAUUGUUCGUUGCUUCAUAAACAAAAGAUUUGAUACUAACGACCGUGUCUACUUCAGCAAGCACAUCCAAGCGUGAAGCUAAUGUAAAAAAAAUAUUGUCUAAGAUAGCUGCGGCAUAGAGCGCCGCCUCGACAACCACAGCACACACUGCCCAGUGUUUCCUCUCAGAACUCGAUGACCAGAGCACACACUCACAACUGACCAGUGUCUCCUUUUAGGUACGGCUCAAAUAUGAUUUCUUUGUUUUUAUGCAUCCACAUUUUUACUGCCUAGCUAAAGCUAGGGUUCCACAUUCCUUUCACCCCUUCAUUUGUGUCUGUGAUAUGUCACCAAUGUCGAAUGAUUUUUAAACUGAUACAUGCCUCCUCUUUUUCCCACUCUGUUGUUUUCUUUCCCUUUCUUGAUGUUUUUAGUGCUCAUAAGCUGAUAUGUACUUUCUGCUCCCUGCUGCAAUCCAUGUAAUAGAUAUCGUGGUUCCAUUAUU